UCAGGAUGAACGCUGGCGGCGUGCUUAACACAUGCAAGUCGAACGGGCUUAAGACUGAAGCUUGCUUAGUCUUAAGUAGUGGCGGACGGGUGAGUAACGCGUGGGCAACCUACCCUGUGCAGGGGGAUAGCAGCUGGAAACGGCUGAUAAAACCGCAUAAAACGGCAGUACCGCAUGGUACAACCGUCAAAUAUUCAUAGGCACAGGAUGGGCCCGCGUCUGAUUAGCUAGUUGGUGGGGCAACGGCCUACCAAGGCGACGAUCAGUAGCCGGCCUGAGAGGGUGAACGGCCACAUUGGGACUGAGACACGGCCCAAACUCCUACGGGAGGCAGCAGUGGGGAAUAUUGGACAAUGGGGGAAACCCUGAUCCAGCGACGCCCGCGUGAGUGAAGAAGUAUUUCGGUAUGUAAAGCUCUAUCAGCAGGGAAGAUGAUGACGGUACCUGACUAAGAAGCACCGGCUAAAUACGUGCCAGCAGCGGC
rnacentral:rRNA from 1 species